AGAGUUUGAUCCUGGCUCAGAUUGAACGCUGGCGGCAUGCUUUACACAUGCAAGUCGAACGGCAGCACGAUCUAGCUUGCUAGAUUGGUGGCGAGUGGCGAACGGGUGAGUAAUGCAUCGGAACGUGCCCAGUUGUGGGGGAUAGCCCGGGGAAACCCGGAUUAAUACCGCAUACGCCCCGAGGGGGAAAGUGGGGGAUCUUAGGACCUCACGCAAUUGGAGCGGCCGAUGUCGGAUUAGCUAGUAGGUGAGGUAAUGGCUCACCUAGGCGACGAUCCGUAGCUGGUCUGAGAGGAUGAUCAGCCACACUGGGACUGAGACACGGCCCAGACUCCUACGGGAGGCAGCAGUGGGGAAUUUUGGACAAUGGGCGAAAGCCUGAUCCAGCCAUGCCGCGUGAGUGAAGAAGGCCUUCGGGUUGUAAAGCUCUUUCAGGUGGAAAGAAAUGGUGCGCUCUAACAUAGCGCGCUGAUGACGGUACCACCAGAAGAAGCACCGGCUAACUACGUGCCAGCAGCCGCGGUAAUACGUAGGGUGCGAGCGUUAAUCGGAAUUACUGGGCGUAAAGCGUGCGCAGGCGGUUGUGUAAGACAGGUGUGAAAUCCCCGGGCUUAACCUGGGAACUGCGCUUGUGACUGCACGGCUAGAGUACGGCAGAGGGGGGUGGAAAUUCCACGUGUAGCAGUGAAAUGCGUAGAGAUGUGGAGGAACACCGAUGGCGAAGGCAGCCUCCUGGGCCUGUACUGACGC
rnacentral:rRNA from 1 species